AAGAAAAUUGCUGAGUCUGUGCUUCCCUUUCUGAGAUCUUUCCAGCAGAACAUAGCAUGUUUCCGUGCACCAUCCCUCCACUCUACCUGAAGCAUACAUUCCUGGUUGAUUUAAUUUGUUCGAGUCUGAUUUUGGGUAUUCUCAUAAAUUUGUACUAUGUAUAAAAAAAGGAAAGGAAAGACAUGCUUUCCCAGUAAACUCUCCCUCCAGAGGCCCUUUAUUCAAAGGGGCUUUGGUAGUUUCUUUCCCUAGAUUAGAGAUCCUGGUACCAUGUUUCCCAAAACUAUACUGUUUGAGUCCUGAUUAACUUAGUUUGAGUAAAACCUUUUUUGAUUAUCAGAAAAAAGUAG
rnacentral:lncRNA from 1 species